AUUUGCACAUGGGCGCAAGCCUGNAUGCAGCCAUGCCCGCGUGUAUGAAGAAGGCCUUCGGGUUGUAAAGUACUUUCAGCGGGGAGGAAGGCGUUGUGGUUAAUAACC
rnacentral:rRNA from 1 species